CAGGAGCCUGAGUAGGAGCCAUCUUCCAGAUGACAGCCAGAGGAGAGACUUGUAAUUUAGCACUAGCAUGGACGGAGACAUUCUGCGAUGUAUGGUUUUGGCAAGUGGAGGCCAAGGAAAAAUUAAAAUAUUUCAGUUUUGGGAACACAGAUUUUUUGACUAGACGAUGUGACUGAGCUGCUGUAUCAAGAGGCAACUAAAUGAUUAAGGUCAGAACUUCAGGAUUCUUUUGGACAGGCUUCAGUUCCUUGCCGUAAUGUGUCAAGGAGGAACAAGUGGAUCUGAGGAACCUCAGGGGCUUAUGCCUCAUGCUCAACUACUCCUGAAGCUUUCAGCAAGACUGAUGUGAGGUACCUGAGGCUUGAAAAAGGAUUUGCAACUUUUGCUUCAACUGUGAACCUGAAUGAGGGUGAACCAUCUAGAAGACUAUGAAAACAUGUGGAACAGAGUGAAAUAAUCUGAGCUGACUAUAAGGGUCUGGUUAACCAGAAGGAGCCAUUUCAUUGUAAACUUGGAUUGACCCUACCCCUCCCAGAGGAACUUACUUGUAAACCCAGGAUAGGGGGUGGGCCAGGCCAGAUGGAGACAUCCAAGCAGUGGGGUGUGCAUAUAUUUACUAUGGCGAAUAGGAAUUCAAUUGGCCACCCAUAUU